rnacentral:misc_RNA from 1 species
AUGCGAUACGUAAUGUGAAUUGCAGAAUUCAGUGAAUCAUCGAAUCUUUGAACGCACCUUGCGCUCCUUGGUAUUCCGAGGAGCAUGCCUGUUUGAGUGUCAUGAAAUCUUCAACCCACCUCUUUCUUAGUGAAUCUGGUGGUGCUUGGUUUCUGAGCGCUGCUCUGCUUCGGCUUAGCUCGUUCGUAAUGCAUUAGCAUCCGCAACCGAACUUCGGAUUGACUUGGCGUAAUAGACUAUUCGCUGAGGAUUCUAGUUUACUAGAGCCGAGUUGGGUUAAAGGAAGCUCCUAAUCCUAAAGUCUAUUUUUUGAUUAGAUCUCAAAUCAGGUAGGACUACCCGCUGAACUUAA